AUGGGUAGAGCUGGGCCGUCCACGGGCCGGGCAGCGUCGAUCCGAGCACUGCGACGAGAUGUCGUCACUGGAGACAAGCUCGGCCGACGGGAUGCCUUCGAUCUCAAGAGCUCACCCGAACCACCCAACCAUGUGGGUCGUCCACGCUUCUCCGAUGACAGGCACUUUGGCGGGGGAAGACCUGGGGGCGAUGAUGACCACCACGGGCAGCAUCGCCGCGGUCCUCGCCGCUCUCGCAACUCAGACCUGGAGGACGACGAUGAAGACUUGAAGGAGCACUCUCUUACAUGCACACACAUUCGUUAUUGUUUAGUUUGGCUUCAUGCCUUUGGCCCUGUGGGUCUGUAUAGAAACUUUUAA
rnacentral:rRNA from 1 species